rnacentral:rRNA from 1 species
CCUACGGGAGGCAGCAGUGGGGGAUAUUGCACAAUGGGGGAAACCCUGAUGCAGCGACGCCGCGUGUGGGAAGACGGUCCUCUGGAUUGUAAACCACUGUCCCCAGGGACGAAGAUGACGGUACCUGAGUAAGAAGCCCCGGCUAACUACGUGCCAGCAGCCGCGGUAAUACGUAGGGGGCAAGCGUUAUCCGGAUUUACUGGGUGGAAAGGGAGCGUAGACGGUGAGACAAGUCUGAAGUGAAAGCCCGGGGCUCAACCCCGGGACUGCUUUGGAAACUGCCUGACUGGAGUGCUGGAGAGGCAAGCGGAAUUCCUAGUGUAGCGGUGAAAUGCGUAGAUAUUAGGAAGAACACCAGUGGCGAAGGCGGCUUGCUGGACAGUAACUGACGUUGAGGCUCGAAAGCGUGGGGAGCAAACAGGAUUAGAUACCCGUGUAGUC